GUGGGGAAUAUUGGACAAUGGGGGGAACCCUGAUCCAGCCAUGCCGCGUGUGUGAAGAAGGCCUUUUGGUUGUAAAGCACUUUAAGCGAGGAGGAGGCUACCGAGAUUAAUACUCUUGGAUAGUGGACGUUACUCGCAGAAUAAGCACCGGCUAACUCUGCGCCAGCAGCCGCGGUAAUACAGAGGGUGCAAGCGUUAAUCGGAUUUACUGGGCGUAAAGCGCGCGUAGGUGGCCAAUUAAGUCAAAUGUGAAAUCCCCGAGCUUAACUUGGGAAUUGCAUUCGAUACUGGUUGGCUAGAGUAUGGGAGAGGAUGGUAGAAUUCCAGGUGUAGCGGUGAAAUGCGUAGAGAUCUGGAGGAAUACCGAUGGCGAAGGCAGCCAUCUGGCCUAAUACUGACACUGAGGUGCGAAAGCAUGGGGAGCAAACAGGAUUAGAUACCCUAGUAGUCC
rnacentral:rRNA from 1 species